AUUGAACGCUGGCGGCAGGCCUAACACAUGCAAGUCGAGCGAGCGGCGGACGGGUGAGUAAUGUAUGGGGACUGCCCGAUAGAGGGGGAUAACUACUGGAAACGGUAGCUAAUACCGCAUACUAUCGGAUAACCCAUAUGGGAUUAGCUAGUAGGUGAGGUAAUGGCUCACUUAGGCGACGAUCCCUAGCUGGUCUGAGAGGGUGAUCAGCCACACUGGGACUGAGACACGGCCCCGACGCCUACGGAGGCAGCAGUGGGGAAUAUUGCACAAUGGACGCAAGCCUGAUGCAGCCAUGCCGCGUGUAUGAAGAAGGCCCUAGGGUUGUAAAGUGCUUGCUGUCGGGAUGCGUUACCGACAGAAGAAGCACCGGCUAACUCCGUGCCAGCAGCCGCGGUAAUAC
rnacentral:rRNA from 1 species